AUUGUAUUUAGGAAGAUAUAUUGAUGAGACUUCAUAGAUGUAGUUUCUGACAUUUCUAGGAAACAACGGUCUCACAGAAAACUACCUAGUCCUCUGGAUCUUACAAUCUUUCCACCCUCCCCUCUUCUGCAAUAAUUCCUGAGCCUUAGAGGCAGGACUUGUGUUGUAGAUGUAUCAGUUGGGACUAGAUCCUACAGCUUUGCACUGUAAUCAGGUGCCAUAAAAAUAACAAAAAAGGGAGGCCACAAAUUGGAAAGAAAUGAGAUACCAGAGAGUGUGUGAAGGAAGAGAGAGAAGACGGAAAUAAAUUAUAGUCUCAAGAAAACAUAAUUGAAGAAAG
rnacentral:lncRNA from 1 species